UACGGAGGGGACUAGCGUUGUUCGGAAUUACUGGGCGUAAAGCGCGCGUAGGCGGAUCAGCAAGUUAGGGGUGAAAUCCCGGGGCUCAACCCCGGAACUGCCCUUAAAACUGCUGGUCUUGAGUUCGAGAGAGGUGAGUGGAAUUCCGAGUGUAGAGGUGAAAUUCGUAGAUAUUCGGAGGAACACCAGUGGCGAAGGCGGCUCACUGGCUCGAUACUGACGCUGAGGUGCGAAAGCGUGGGGAGCAAACAGG
rnacentral:rRNA from 1 species